rnacentral:lncRNA from 1 species
GUGCAGACAAAGCCCUGACGAAUAGAGGCCUGCGCAGAGUGCCCGGGGUGCAGGGCAGCAGGGCAGCCAGUGAACCACUGAGCUCGCACUGUAGCCAGUCCUGUGUGCCCCUGCUGGAUUCUGCUUCUAUGAGGGAGGCAGCAAGGAGUUGGGACUUCACAGGUGAAAGGACUUGCCAGGGUCUUACUUUGUCGCCCAGGCUGGAGUACAGUGGCAUGAUCGUAGCUCAUUGCAGCCUCCACCUCCCUGGGCUCAGGAGAUCCAUCUCAGCCUCCUGAGUAGCUGGGACCACAGGUGCCUGCCUCCCUGCUGCGCCUGGCCACGUGGAAACCCCUGUAGCUCCCUGGCUGUGCAGGAGCAGCCACAGUGUGCCCCUCCCAGGACCACCAUCCCCCUCACUGUCUCUGAGGCACCUGCGUGGACCGGGUCUGGAUUGAGUCUCAUUUCUCUGGAUUCCCACGGCAGCCGGCGGCUGCCUCUCCCACACCCGUCACUCUGUGUCAUGGAAAGCUGUGUGUUUGUCUUCAUUCCCACCGAGUCUGAGCCACUCGAGGUCAGGGCCAUGACCGUGAGCUACACGUCCUUGGCGCCCAGUGUGAGCCGUGUACAGUAGAGGCUGACUGACGUCUUGGAGGCAGAAGU